CAAUGAAAUUAACGUAUUUUUGUCGAGAGUCAGCUGCAGGCUGGCGUAUGACUGCUAGAACCGUCUGUUUCUUGUCUCGUAGCACAUUUUCUCCACAUGCUUCAGUUCUAAACAAUGAAUGGGAGCAGUCUGCAGCGAUGAGGGACACGUCACAGCAGCCUGACCCUCUACAGACCUGGCUUUAUGAUUUCAAUUCCCUAAAGGUGCCAUUUUUUAAAUAUAUUAACACUAAAACUGUGCAUACUUUAUACAUUCAUGCUGUAUUUGUAUAUACAAUGCUGUUUGUUUAAUGUUUUUUUCCUCCUCACAUGGAUGUACUACAUACCUCAAGCCCUGGUUAAUUUCUGCUCAUUUAGUCAUUACAUUUUUACCAAACAAGUGAUUCUGUUACUUUUCCCAGACUGACAUGUGUUGUUUGUGUGUUCUGUCCUCAGAAGGAAUACCAGUUUUUUAUGUCUUCAAGUUUUAACAGGAACAUAUGCAAACCAGCCAGCACACAGAGACUCUGAUUUUUAAAAUGCAUAUUGUAUUUAAGGGGG